rnacentral:lncRNA from 1 species
ACCCAAGGCCUUUGCCAGAGUGAACAGUAUCAGCCCUGGUUCCCCAGCCAGUAUUGCGGGCCUGCAAGUGGAUGAUGAAAUUGUGGAGUUCGGCUCUGUGAACACCCAAAACUUCCAGUCUCUGCAGAACGUGGGCUCUGUGGUGCAGCACAGCGAGGGGAAGCCCCUGAAUGUCAUGGUGAUCCGCAGAGGGGAGAAGCACCAGCUCAGACUGACUCCCACCCGCUGGGCAGGAAAAGGACUGCUGGGCUGCAAUAUUACCCCUCUCCAAAGAUGACUGCUUCCUGGGAGCUGCAGGAGAGCUUCUUCAGCUGGGCCCGCGCUUGGCCUGGGGGAUUUCCUCAUUCUCUCGGCUCCCUCAAGUGGACUCUGUGCAAUUCUGACUGUCCUGGAGCUUCCUGUGUAGACCAGGCUGGCCUUGAGCUGACAAGAGAUCCUCCUGCCUCUGCCUCAUUAGAGGCAUGUACUAACAUGGCUGGCUAGACUUUGAGAAAUAUGUAUUAUACACAUACAUACGUACAUAACACACACACACACACACACACACAUAUACAUACAUACAUACACACAUAUAUACAUGCACAUAGUACAUUUCUAUAUUUCCUGUCACUUUCAGUCCCUCUCAGACGUCCUCUCAUGCUCACUUUCUAGCUGCCUGCCCUCUCUUUUUCCUUUUUAAAUAAACAGCCUACUGAGUGC